rnacentral:tRNA from 1 species
GCCGGGGUGGCGGAAUAGGUAGACGCUGUGGACUUAAAAUCCACUGGGAAGUAAUUCCCAUGAGGGUUCGAGUCCCUCCCCCGGCA